GCUUCACCGUGGACUUCACCUCAGGAUUCUCCUGCUGCAGGACACAGGAGCUGGAGUUCCUGGACCUCACGGCCGUCCUGCACUGCGUCCACGCCUUCCUCGUGGCCAAGGUUGCCUCCCUGGACCCCGGCUUUGCGGGCAGCCAGGGCCUCACCAGGAAGCCCCCAGGCAGCAGCUGAGCACUCGGUCAAGGACGAGAAUUAAAUUAUUUUCUUAAGAGACGAAACUUUGCCGCCCAGCAUUGGAGCUCUGUGGCUUCAUAAUGAGCCUACGGUUGUGAUACCAGGCUUGCCUGUUUCCAGCCACAGGCAUCCUCGUUAGAGGGACGGUCCCACAGGACGCACGCGCGGCUGUGGCUGGGGCCCUGGCCCGUGAAUCGCCACAUCCCUGCAUCCCUCCGGGCCCUGCGAGGGGUGAGCCCACAUGCACCAUGUCCCUCGCUGGCCACACCUGGGUUUCCUUCCACGGAGUGACGGGACCGAGAGCCCCCCCCAACUCCCCUGCUUCCCUCUCCCUGGAGAGGAAGUGCUUCCUGGGGUCGGGCGUCUCCUCCCCUGCGCCCAGGAGGAGGCAGAGCCAGGGGUGAACUGGGCUGUGAGCAGCAGGACUGUGGGGAUGGGAGUCAAUUUUUGUAUCAAACAUGACAAAUGAGUUACAGUGGCAUUAAGUAACGCGUCAUUUAAAGGUUAUUAUUAUUGUUGUUGUUUUUGUUAAUCC